ensembl:lncRNA
UGAGUGCUGUUUAGUUGAAGUUAAGGGGUAGAAACACUUCCGUAACUACCCCGUGCAGAUUUAGAGUUGGUCACUGCUCAAGACGUACAACUUAAGCUCCAUGAAGUUUCUGACCAGUGUACAGAAAUAUAAAUGUAUGAGUGAAUAUAGAGCAUUUUCUUCCAUUUCUACUUUAAUUUGUCUGACAAAAGUCUCUCAAAGGCUGCAUCUCCCAGCAUGGUGAUCUCAAAGGAAAAUACUCAAGGGGAAUUUGGGGACCAGAGAUUUAAUGGUUGCAGUUUUAUAAUCUUUAUCAGAGCACUGAGUCUGUAAUAGGAAGAUGGGAGUAAUUGCCUCCAAGAUUUCUGUCACCUCAAUCAACCUUCGAGGGAAAAUCAUCGCAAGAGAGCCUCUGGAGGACUAAGCCUGGUUUUGAGUGUCUUAACCAAAAAACCUAAAGUGAGCUAUUUUACUGUGACAUCUAUAUGGAGCCUUCUUCCUUCUCUGUGUCAGCAUCCUUUGAAGAAUGAUACUCAUGUCACUCUAGCAUUCAGAAGCAGAAAGUUUUCAGUGACUCAGUGUCACUUCUGCCUAGUCUACCUUAAAGCUUCAUUUCCUGGUGUCUGAGCUACUUCAUCGGUAUCACAGCAGCACUGGACAAAUCAGCUGUAGUGGCUGAUGAUGGCUACCUUUUGCCUUUAGACUCCAUAUAUUUGCUGGCAGAUGGAGUGAGUCAUCGUUCAGCUGAAGAAAAGGCUGAACCUGAAUUAACAAUUCAGCUCUGCUCCAGCCUGAGACAGACUGUGAUAGAAAAGAGGUCCCUGGAUAGCUGAAAACAUGUCUGUAUUUCUAGUAUAUAAACUUUAUUAGUUUCUUUACAAUAGUUUGGCUAUCAGCUGGUAUGUAAAAGCCUGCUAGUAGGCAAGUAGAGAGAAAUAAUGACAAUUAGUGUAUGUGGU